CCUGGUUGAUCCUACUAGUAGUCAUAUGUUUGUCUAAAAGAUUAAGCCAUAUAUGUGUAAGUAUGAACUAAUUCAGACUGUGAAACUGUGAAACUGUGAAUGGCUCAUUAAAUCAGUUAUAGUUUGUUUGAUGGUAUCUAUUACUCGGAUAAACAUAGUAAUUCUAGUGCCAAUAUGUGCAACAAACUUGACUUCUAGAAAGGAUGCAUUUAUUGGAUAAAAGGUUGAUGCGAGCUUUUAUCGUUGCUCUGAGGAUUUAUGAUAACUCGACAGAUCACACGACCUUUGUGUUGACAAUGCAUAAUUCAAAUUUCUACCCUAUCAACUUUCGAUGGUAGGAUAGUGGCCUACUAUGGUGGUGAUGGGUGACAGAGAAUUAAGGUUUGAUUCUAGAGAGAGAGCUCGAGAAAUAGUUACCACAUCCAAAAAAGGCAGUAGGUGUGCAAAUUACCCAAUCCUGACAUGGGGAGUUAGUGCCAAUAAAUAACAAUACUGAGCUUUAUGAGUUUGGUAAUUGAAAUAAGUACAAUCUAAAUCCCUUAACGAUAAUCCAUUGAAGGGCAAGUCUGGUGCCAGUAGCCAUAAUAAUUCUAGCUCUAAUAGCGUAUAUUUAAGUUGUUGUAGUUAAAAAGCUCAUAGUUAGAACUAGAGUUGGAUCGUCCGAUUUACCUCACGGUGAGUACCUGUCUACUCAUCCUUAUUGUCGAUGAUGCACUCCUUGCCUUAACUGGUCGGGUCAUUCCUUCGGUACUAUUACUUUGAAAAAAUUAAAGUGCUCAAAGCAAGUCUAUGCUUGUAUACAUUAGCAUGGGUAACAUCAUAGUAUUUCAGUCCUAUUAUGUCGGCCUUUGGGAUCAGAGUAAUGAUUAACAGAGACAGUCAGGGGCAUUCAUAUUUCAUAGUUAAAGGUAAAAUUCUUGGUUUUGUGAAAAAGGAACAACUAUGACAGCAUUUGCUAGGGAUGUUUUCAUUAAUCAAGAAUGGAAGUUGAAAGCUUGAAGAUGAUCAAAUAUCAUCCUCGUAUCAACCAUAAACGAUACUGACCAAGGAUCGAUGGAUGUUACUUUUAGGACUCUACUGGCACCUUAUGCAAAAUCAAAGUUUUUAGGUUUUGAGGGGAGUAUGGUUACAAGGCUAAAACUAAAAGGAAUUGACGGAAGGGCACCACCAAGAGUGGAGUUUGUGGCUUAAUUUAACUCAAUACAAAGAAACAUACCAGGUCCAGACAUAGUAUGGAUUGAUAGACUGAGAGCUUUUUCUUGAUUCUAUAGGUGGUGGUGCAUGGUCAUUUUUGGUUGAUAAAGCGAUUUGUUUGGUUAAUUCAGUUAAUGAAAGAGACCUAAGCCUGCUAACUAGCUAUACGGAGGUAAUCCUUUGUGGCUAGCAUUUUAGAGGGACUAUGGCCACUUAAGCUAAGGAAGUUUGAGGUAAUAAUGGGUCUAUGACGUCUUUAGAUGUUUUAGGCUGCACAUGUGCUACACUGAUGUAUUCAACGAGUUUAUAGCUUUGGCUGAUAGGCCUGUGUAAUAUUUGAAAUUUCAUCAUGAUGGGGAUAGAUCAUUGCAAUUAUUGGUUUUCAAUGAGGAAUUCCUAGUAAGUGCGAGUCAUCAGCUCGUAUUGACUACAUCCUUACCCUUUGUACACACUGCUCGUCGCUUCUACCAAUUGAAUGGUUUAUUGAAGUUUUUGGAUCAUGGUAGCAUAGACAGUUUGCUACCCAUGACAUUGCAAGAAGUCCACUAAACCUUAUCAUUUAGAGGAAGAAGUCGUAACAAGGUUUCUGCAGGUGAACCGAUGGAAG
rnacentral:rRNA from 1 species